UACGAAGGGGGCUAGCGUUGCUCGGAAUCACUGGGCGUAAAGCGCACGUAGGCGGCUUGUUAAGUCAGGGGGUGAAAUCCUGGAGCUCAACUCCAGAACUGCCUUUGAUACUGGCGAGCUUGAGUUCGGGAGAGGUGAGUGGAACUGCGAGUGUAGAGGUGAAAUUCGUAGAUAUUCGCAAGAACACCAGUGGCGAAGGCGGCUCACUGGCCCGAUACUGACGCUGAGGUGCGAAAGCGUGGGGAGCAACAGGGAUUAAGAA
rnacentral:rRNA from 1 species